GAGUUUUGAUCAUGGCUCAGGAUGAACGCUAGCGGCAGGCUUAACACAUGCAAGUCGAGGGGCAUCGGGAGGGAAGCUUGCUUUCCUUGCCGGCGACCGGCGCACGGGUGAGUAACACGUAUGCAACCUGCCCUCUUCAGGGGGACAACCUUCCGAAAGGGAGGCUAAUCCCGCGUAUAUCGGUUUUACGGGCAUCCGUUAUCGAGGAAAGA
rnacentral:rRNA from 1 species